GACGAACGCUGGCGGCGCGCCUAACACAUGCAAGUCGAACGAGAGAUGAGGAGCUUGCUCUUCAAAUCGAGUGGCGAACGGGUGAGUAACGCGUGAGGAACCUGCCUCAAAGAGGGGGACAACAGUUGGAAACGACUGCUAAUACCGCAUAAGCCCACGGCUCGGCAUCGAGCAGAGGGAAAAGGAGCAAUCCGCUUUGAGAUGGCCUCGCGUCCGAUUAGCUAGUUGGUGAGGUAACGGCCCACCAAGGCGACGAUCGGUAGCCGGACUGAGAGGUUGAACGGCCACAUUGGGACUGAGACACGGCCCAGACUCCUACGGAGGCAGCAGUGGGGAAUAUUGCACAAUGGGGGAAACCCUGAUGCAGCGACGCCGCGUGGAGGAAGAAGGUCUUCGGAUUGUAAACUCCUAGUUGUUGAGGAAGAUAAUGACGGUACUCAACAAGGAAGUGACGGCUAACUACGUG
rnacentral:rRNA from 1 species